rnacentral:rRNA from 1 species
AUUGAACGCUGGCGGCAUGCUUUACACAUGCAAGUCGAACGGCAGCGCGGGCUUCGGCCUGGCGGCGAGUGGCGAACGGGUGAGUAAUGCAUUGGAACGUGCCCAGUAGUGGGGGAUAGCCCGGCGAAAGCCGGAUUAAUACCGCAUACGACCUGAGGGUGAAAGCGGGGGACCGAAAGGCCUCGCGCUAUUGGAGCGGCCGAUGUCGGAUUAGCUAGUUGGUGGGGUAAAGGCUUACCAAGGCGACGAUCCGUAGCUGGUCUGAGAGGACGACCAGCCACACUGGGACUGAGACACGGCCCAGACUCCUACGGGAGGCAGCAGUGGGGAAUUUUGGACAAUGGGGGCAACCCUGAUCCAGCCAUGCCGCGUGCGGGAAGAAGGCCUUCGGGUUGUAAACCGCUUUUGUUCGGGAAGAAAUCCUCUGGGCUAAUACCCCGGGGGGAUGACGGUACCGGAAGAAUAAGCACCGGCUAUCUACGUG